UGCAAGUCGAGCGAACAGACGAGGAGCUUGCUCCUCUGACGUUAGCGGCGGACGGGUGAGUAACACGUGGAUAACCUACCUAUAAGACUGGGAUAACUUCGGGAAACCGGAGCUAAUACCGGAUAAUAUAUUGAACCGCAUGGUUCAAUAGUGAAAGACGGUUUUGCUGUCACUUAUAGAUGGAUCCGCGCCGCAUUAGCUAGUUGGUAAGGUAACGGCUUACCAAGGCAACGAUGCGUAGCCGACCUGAGAGGGUGAUCGGCCACACUGGAACUGAGACACGGUCCAGACUCCUACGGGAGGCAGCAGUAGGGAAUCUUCCGCAAUGGGCGAAAGCCUGACGGAGCAACGCCGCGUGAGUGAUGAAGGUCUUCGGAUCGUAAAACUCUGUUAUUAGGGAAGAACAAAUGUGUAAGUAACUAUGCACGUCUUGACGGUACCUAAUCAGAAAGCCACGGCUAACUACGUGCCAGCAGCCGCGGUAAUACGUAGGUGGCAAGCGUUAUCCGGAAUUAUUGGGCGUAAAGCGCGCGUAGGCGGUUUUUUAAGUCUGAUGUGAAAGCCCACGGCUCAACCGUGGAGGGUCAUUGGAAACUGGAAAACUUGAGUGCAGAAGAGGAAAGUGGAAUUCCAUGUGUAGCGGUGAAAUGCGCAGAGAUAUGGAGGAACACCAGUGGCGAAGGCGACUUUCUGGUCUGUAACUGACGCUGAUGUGCGAAAGCGUGGGGAUCAAACAGGAU
rnacentral:rRNA from 1 species